UACGUAGGGACCGAGCGUUGUCCGGAAUCAUUGGGCGUAAAGAGCGUGUAGGCGGCCACUUAAGUCCUGCGUGAAAUCUUGCGGCUCAACCGCAAGCGGUCGUGGGAAACUGGGUGGCUAGAGUGCGGGAGAGGAGAGUGGAAUUCCUGGUGUAGCGGUGAAAUGCGCAGAUAUCAGGAGGAACACCAACGGCGAAGGCAGCUCUCUGGGACGUUACUGACGCUGAGACGCGAAAGCGUGGGGAGCAAACAGG
rnacentral:rRNA from 1 species